GGCCAUAGCUCAGUGAUGGAGCAUCUGCUUUGCAUGCAGAAAGUCCUGGGUUCAGUUUCCAGCAUCUCCA